rnacentral:rRNA from 1 species
UACGGAGGGUGCGAGCGUUGUCCGGAAUCAUUGGGCGUAAAGGGCGCGUAGGUGGCCCGGUCAGCGUGCGGUGAAAGCUCGGGGCUCAACCCCGAGUCGGCCGUGCGAACUGCUGGGCUCGAGCACUGUAGAGGCAGGCGGAAUUCCGGGUGUAGCGGUGGAAUGCGUAGAGAUCCGGAAGAACACCGGUGGCGAAGGCGGCCUGCUGGGCAGUGGCCGACACUGAGGCGCGACAGCGUGGGGAGCAAACAGGG